AACCAACUCCUUCUGAGAAGAAAUUUCUCCUAAUUUCUAACCUAAUACUUAAUGAGGAUUAUCUUACAGAGGGCCUGCCCCAAGGCUAAGAAUUUAAGUUCCCAUGUGGGUGUGAUGAUUGAAAUAGGUUUCAAAGUACUGAACACAAUCUAACUGAACUAUGUCUUUCCACCAAAACAUGCAUUCAGCUAAUUCCUGCCCCUAUUACUUAAUAGCUGUGAGUUCUCUCCAAGUAAAUUUGUCCACUGACUCUAUUCAAACUGCAAGUGAAAGGCCAUAGUAGAGUAGCUAACACUUAAGGUUUACAUUCAGUACUAGGACGAGUUUCACUGAAGGAGUCUGUAUUCCAACUGCUUUGGCUACAGAUAGAAUUUACCUUAUUUUAAUGCUAACAAAAUACCACUGCUUUGAAGUUACUCAAAGGAUUUACAACUGCUUGCCCCUGUAAUACCGCUAUUCAAAGUAAUAGCAAAAAGUCCUCCAAAGUCAAUAUACAAUUGCUAUGACUCUGGUAAUCUCUAUAUUCCACCAUGUUUUCUCGUGCAUCAGAAGUUACAGUGCAAGAGGUGAAACGGCUCCCCAAAAAGGAGAGACAGAGAGAGAGAAUUAUUCUACAGAAUUUAAACAGCGAAAAAACAGAUAG
rnacentral:lncRNA from 1 species